rnacentral:rRNA from 1 species
AGCUCUUGAAACUGGGAGACUUGAGUGCAGGAGAGGAGAGUGGAAUUCCUAGUGUAGCGGUGAAAUGCGUAGAUAUUAGGAGGAACACCAGUUGCGAAGGCGGCUCUCUGGACUGUAACUGACGCUGGGGCACGAAAGCGUGGGGAGCAAACAGGAUUAGAUACCCUGGUAGUCCACGCUGUAAACGAUGAGUACUAGGUGUCGGGGGUUACCCCCUUCGGUGCCGCAGCUAACGCAUUAAGUACUCCGCCUGGGAAGUACGCUCGCAAGAG